AUUAUUAUUCAACUUUCUAUUCCCUAUUGAUUUAGUUGUAUGGUUACAAUUCCGUAGCACGAAUCGAUAAUACCAAGAAACGUUGUUGCUUACCGCGACACCUGAUCUUAUCUAAUACCUAUAACUCAACCACGAAAUUUAUAUGCAACGAUUCGCUAUAUAAGUUGUCCUCGUUCAAGCAAGCAAGCAAGCAAGCAAGCAAGCGAGCAAGCGAGCAAGCGAGCAAGCGAGCUAGCAAGCAAACAAACAACCAACAAGUUAUUCGUUCCUUCACGAAAAAGGGAUAAAGGACUGUCCUCGAGCCACGUUAUGAGACAUAUGGGAUCCCGUAGGAUAAUAUCCAAUUACCGAACCGAGAAGGCCAUCAACGAGGAGAACGAUUUCUGUCAAAGAGAGGAAAUGGCAGUCUGUACAUAAAGGAAACGAGUUACGGACGGAGUUCUUCGUUAGUACCGGAUGGACGAAUAAUGAGACGAAAUCGACUGGUCGAUAUAUGAAAAUCGAAAAAAAAAAAAAAGAAAAAAGAAAAAGUUGAUCGAUUUUAUUCCCAAGAAGUGCACCAUGUCGAAACGUCAAUCGCAUCGCGAUGCAUCGUAUUAUCAUCGAACGGUACGAAUUUGAUGUAGGAAAAUCGAGGAAAAAAAGAAAAAUUGUAAUUUUUUUUAUUCGCGAAGAGCGUCGUAAAAUGCAUCAGGAUGCAUCGUACUAUCGAAUCGAACGGAUUUGAUGGGGAAAAAUAAAAAA